UGACACACGGGCUGUCCAAAACAGCUCUCUGUGGCUGCACUGACACAUAGGUGAUCCUUCCAUCACAGCAAGUUUACUGCAGUGGUGACCAUGAGACCUAUAACAUUU